CACUAUGCCUAGCCCUAAACAUUGAUAAUACCCUACCCAGUUUAUCCGCCCGGGAACUACGAGCGUCAGCUUAAAACCCAAAGGACUUGGCGGUGCUUUAGAUCCACCUAGAGGAGCCUGUUCUAGAACCGAUAAUCCCCGUUCAACCUCACCUUUUCUUGCUCAUUCCGCCUAUAUACCACCGUCGUCAGCUUACUCUUUGAGGAACCAGCCGUAAGCGCAACUGGUACAACCUAAAACGCCAGGUCGAGGUGUAGCGAAUGGAAAGGGAAGAAAUGGGCUACAUUCAAUAACAAUAAUGCAUACGAACGAUGUUCUGAAAUAAACAUCUGAAGGAGGAUUUAGUAGUAAGUAGAGAGCAGAGUGCUCUACUGAAGCCGGCCCUGAAGCGCGUACACACCGCCCGUCACUCUCCCCGAGCUAACCGUACAAAUUUAUAAUAAGCAAAACUUGCAAAGGGGAGGCAAGUCGUAA
rnacentral:rRNA from 1 species